rnacentral:rRNA from 1 species
CACCAGCCCCUCGAGUGGUGGGGAUGAUUAUUUGGCCUAAAGCGUCCGUAGCCGGCUAGGUAAGUUUCCCGUUAAAUCCAGCGUCUCAAGCGUUGGACUGCGGGAAAUACUGUCUGGCUAGAGAGUGGGAGAGGUGUACGGUAUUCUGGGGGUAGGGGCGAAAUCCUUUGAUCCCCGGAGGACCACCAGUGGCGAAGGCUGUGCACUAGAACACGUCUGACGGUCAGGGACGAAAGCUGGGGUAGCGAACCGGAUUAGAUACCCGGGUAGUCCCAGCUGUAAACGAUGCAUGCUAGGUGUUGGGUUGGCCACGAGCCACCCCAGUGCCGCAGGGAAGCCGUUAAGCAUGCCGCCUGGGAAGUACGAUCGCAAGAUUGAAACUUAAAGGAAUUGGCGGGGAGCACCACCAGGCGUGAAGCCUGCGGUUU